AUGCUCUAACCAACUGAGCUGACUAGCCAGCCCUGUUUUUCAUUAUAAAGGCGUGUGAUUAUUGCAUUGCAUAAGUUUUCUUUCAAUAUUUUUUCCUGUGUAUGUAUAUGUGCAUAUUUAUAUAUUUAGUAAUGCAUUGAUAUUCUUUUAUAUGCUAAUAUUUUUCAUUCAAGUACAUUUCUUGUUAAAUAUUCUUUAUACCAUAAUUUAUCUCAUCAGUCCCAACUUGUUGAACAUUUGAUAUUUUUUUAUUUCGUCAAUAAGAAAAAAUGUUGCAAAUGACAUAGUUUCACCCCAUCCCCUAUAAAGUCUCUAGGUUAAAUUAGCAGAUAAUUGAAGUUUCGGGCCAAAGAAUAAGAAUGUUUUAUGAGAGAGCACAGAUUCUUUUAAUGCUCUAGCUUAAGACUUAUUGUGAAGAUGAAGAAUGAGAUAAUGAACCCUAGUACAUGUCAUGGACUCAUUCUUUCAUUUUAAAUGUUUCUUUAGAAAUGGUUCACCAAAUCACCAGCCAGAGCCUCCCCCUCCAGUCACAGAUAACCUCUUGCCAACAACCACACCUCAGGAAGCUCAACAGUGGUUGCAUCGAAACCGCUUUUCUACUUUCACAUGGCUUUUCACAAACUUCUCAGGAGCAGAUUUAUUGAAACUAACUAGAGAUGAUGUGAUCCAAAUCUGUGGCCCCGCAGAUGGAAUCAGACUUUUUAAUGCAUUAAAAGGCCGGUAUGUAAUUAGUUUUAAAAUAUCAAUGAGGUUUGAUUUCAGAUGGAUUUGGAAUCAGGGAUUCUUCAUAAUAUUCCGCACAGCUAAAUACGUCUUGUCAAAAAAAUUUUUUUUAUUGUCAUUUUCAUUGUGACUAUUUCAGGAAAC